rnacentral:rRNA from 1 species
GACGAACGCUGGCGGCGUGCUUAACACAUGCAAGUCGAACGGAAAGGCCCUGCUUUUGUGGGGUGCUCGAGUGGCGAACGGGUGAGUAACACGUGAGUAACCUGCCCUUGACUUUGGGAUAACUUCAGGAAACUGGGGCUAAUACCGGAUAGGAGCUCCUGCUGCAUGGUGGGGGUUGGAAAGUUUCGGCGGUUGGGGAUGGACUCGCGGCUUAUCAACUUGUUGGUGGGGUAGUGGCUUACCAAGGCUUUGACGGGUAGCCGGCCUGAGAGGGUGACCGGCAACAUUGGGAGUGAGAUACGGCCCAGACUGCUACGGGAGGCAGCAGUGGGGAAUAUUGCACCAUGGGCGGAAGCCUGAUGCAGCAACGCCGCGUGCGGGAUGACGGGCUUCGGGUUGUAAACCGCUUUCGCCUGUGACGAAGCGUGAGUGACGGUAAUGGGUAAAGAAGCACCGGCUAACUACGUG